UCGCUUCUGUAGCACACAUACUAAAACUGGAACAAUACAGAGAGGAUAAAUCUGGCCCCUGUGCAAGGAUGACAUGAAAUGUAGUGAAAUGUUCCAUAUUUUU